UCAUUAAAUCAGUUAUCGUUUAUUUGAUAGUACCUUACUACUUGGAUAACCGUGGUAAUUCUAGAGCUAAUACAUGCUAAAAACCCCAACUUCGGGAGGGGUGUAUUUAUUAGAUAAAAAACCAAUGCCCUUCGGGGCUCUCUGGUGAUUCAUGAUAACUUCUCAGAUCGCAUGGCCUUGCGCCGGCGACGGUUCAUUCAAAUUUCUGCCCUAUCAACUUUCGAUGGUAAGGUAUUGGCUUACCAUGGUUUCAACGGGUAACGGGGAAUUAGGGUUCGAUUCCGGAGAGGGAGCCUGAGAAACGGCUACCACAUCCAAGGAAGGCAGCAGGCGCGCAAAUUACCCAAUCCCGACACGGGGAGGUAGUGACAAUAAAUACUGAUACAGGGCCCUUUUGGGUCUUGUAAUUGGAAUGAGUACAAUUUAAACCUCUUAACGAGGAACAAUUGGAGGGCAAGUCUGGUGCCAGCAGCCGCGGUAAUUCCAGCUCCAAUAGCGUAUAUUAAAGUUGUUGCAGUUAAAAAGCUCGUAGUUGAACCUUUGGCCUGGCUGGCAGGUCCGCCUCACCGCGUGCACUUGUCCGGCCGGGCCUUUUCUUCUGGAGAACCGCAUGCCCUUCACUGGGUGUGUUGGGGACCAGGACUUUUACUUUGAAAAAAUUAGAGUGUUCAAAGCAGGCCUUUGCUCGAAUACGUUAGCAUGGAAUAAUAGAAUAGGACGUGCGGUCCUAUUUUGUUGGUUUCUAGGACCGCCGUAAUGAUUAAUAGGGACAGUCGGGGGCAUCAGUAUUCAAUUGUCAGAGGUGAAAUUCUUGGAUUUAUUGAAGACUAACUACUGCGAAAGCAUUUGCCAAGGAUGUUUUCAUUAAUCAGUGAACGAAAGUUAGGGGAUCGAAGACGAUCAGAUACCGUCGUAGUCUUAACCAUAAACUAUGCCGACUAGGGAUCGGGCGGUGUUUCUUUUUUGACCCGCUCGGCAC
rnacentral:rRNA from 1 species